GCCCCAGGAUGGAUCCCUGCCCCAGGCUGGAUCCCUGCCCCAGGAUGGAUCCCUGCCCCAGGAUGGAUCCCCGCCGCUUCUCCCAUCCCCUGGCUCAGCCCCCCCGGCCGGCUCCCCCCUUGCCCCGCACGCUGCGCUGGGCAAAACUUACCCUAACAUAAAGCCUAGAAACUAAACUCUGUUCGGGUACUGCCAAUAAGCUCCUGGCUUGUUUUGAUAUGGAUCAGGGGUGAGAUGGGCUCUUUUCCUGGCUCUGCUUUUUCUUGGAAGUAGCUGGAUGAGCAGAGAGAGGCAGCGUGGAAGAGUAACGCGUGGGGCUGAACUUCAUGGAGGUUACAAGUUUUUCACUCUUUUCAAGUAUUAAAAUUAAAAUAAAAUUACAUAUAGAAAAAAAAAAAAAGAAGAGAAAGAAAAAAAAAAAAAAGAAGCCCAGACUCCACCUUUGCACUGAAGGGAUUGGUUAUGCAAAUAUGGAAGGGGUUUCCUGGCAAAUACAGCUUUCUACUGUAUGGUUAAUUAAAUCAUCACUCAAAAGCCUUCCAAUGUGACGCUUCUGUCGUAAUCCAAUCAGGUUACGUAGGUUCUAAACAAGAAAGAUAUUUUCCACAUCUGGAAGUCAGCAAUUUAGCAAGUACUGCACAUUAUUAACCAAUUCAGAGCCCACUUCCCAGGGGGAUAGCUUUUUCUUUUUUUUUUGAAGUUUAAGUGUUCUUAACCAACGCUCUGCCGGUUUGUUAAUCAAAAAGCCGGUUUGCACCGCACGUAAUCGAGAAGUGAUAUCGAAGUGAGUACGGGCUGAGCGAGCCGGGGAUGCUGAGGAAGGCGCUGGGCUGCAAAGGGGCAGAUCCGGCUGAGCUGCAGCCGCUCCUGCCCAGCUCCAGCACAGCCCACAGCCGCUCCUUCCUCCUGAAGGAGCUGGAAAUAAUCUCACUGCAAAGAGAAACUUCGCGGCUUGCCCACUCGCACGGUCCCUUCCCGAGGUAAACGUGGGGCUGCCCAAAGAGCUGCCAAACAAUUUCCCCGCUCUGACAAGAGUUCAGCCUAUUCCAGCACUUUAUUGCUUUAUUUUUCCUUCUCCCCCUCCCGAAGAAAACCGAAACAAAUGGCAACGCUGAUCCCACACUGCACUUUUACUUACAUUAAGCUCAGAUAAACUGCUCUUGAACCGUGCACUGAACGUGUGCCUAAAGCAAGAAGUGGAGGGCGAGCGAUAGCGAUGGGAUCGCGCUCCAAAAUGGUCCUGGGAGCACCUUCCUGGCGGAUCAGCAUC